AAAAAAGAUAAUAUUAUUUAUACACAUGCAAUGCAUGCAAAGCACACCUGAGUUCAGAUACUGAAAGUGAACAUCAGUGGAACUUUGAUGAUCUAGGCCGCUCUAUUUUUGCAGCAACACCAGCAUGCGUCGGACAUUCAUAAAGUUGAAAGAACAAACCUAUGACUUGAACACACAAUUUGUGAUCUGAAUAUAGUUCACAAAUUUAAGGAAAGCAACUAUCAAAGACAUCCAGAUUGAUGGUAUACAUGAAGUAUGAAUGAAAGACUUUUCAGAAGAACAAGC